rnacentral:rRNA from 1 species
AUAGAGACUCAGAGCUGCAUAUCAAUAAGCGGAGGAAAAGAAACUAACAAGGAUUCCCUUAGUAACGGCGAGUGAGGCGGGAAGAGCUCAAAUUUGAAAUCUUCAAGGUUUUACCUUGACGAAUUGUAGUUUAAAGAAGUGUUUUCUGCUGAAGUUUUGGUAAAAGUUCUUUGGAAUAGGCAUCAUAGAGGGUGAGAAUCCCGUAUUUGACCAUUAUUUUCAGCUUUGUGAUACACUUUCAAAGAGUCGGAUUGUUUGGGAAUGCAGUCCAAAAUGGGUGGUAAAUUUCAUCUAAAGCUAAAUAUUGGCGAGAGACCGAUAGCGAACAAGUACCGUGAGGGAAAGAUGAAAAGAACUUUGAAAAGAGAGUUAAACAGUACGUGAAAUUGUCAAAAGGGAAGCGUUUGACACCAGUGUUGUUUUUCUGAAAAUCAAUUAAAGAACUGUUUAUGCUAAGUUGUUAUGACUUCAUCAGCUUGCUCCUGUUCAGUUUAUGAAGCUUUCUUUAAUGCACUUUUCAGUUAACAAGUCAACAUCAAUUUCUUUUGUUGUAAAAAGGGUAUGAGGAAGGUGGCUUGCGAUUCGUAUAAGUGUUUAUAGCCUCUGUGCCUCUGCAGUCGGAGAGAUUGAGGUCUGCAGCGUAGAUCCUUCGGGGUUAAAUAGCAUUUGUGCUAAGUUAUAGUCUUUCAUAGACAACUUGUUGACUAUAAUUAAGUCUUGUAACUUACUCGCUUACUGCUACUUUACCUACGCUUAGGAUGUUGAUGUGGUACUGCGAGCA